UACGGAGGGGGGCAAGCGUUGUUCGGAAUUACUGGGCGUAAAGGGCGCGCAGGCGGCUGCUCAAGUCAGGCGUGAAAAGGCCUGGGCUCAACCCGGGAAUUGCGCUUGAGACUGGGCUGGCUUGAGUGCGGGAGAGGAUGGUGGAAUUCCCAGUGUAGAGGUGAAAUUCGUAGAUAUUGGGAAGAACACCGGUGGCGAAGGCGGCCAUCUGGACCGCAACUGACGCUGAGGCGCGAAAGCGUGGGGAGCAAACAGG
rnacentral:rRNA from 1 species